GGGCACGAAAUAUAGUUUCUUAUAAGCUGUAUACUACUCACAAAAGACAUCUAAUUGAAGAUAAGAUCAUUAAUUUAUGUGUAUAUUUUUCCUUAGUGUAAGCCAGGGAGGUGUGUCCAGGAGGACACACGGGGGAGUGGGGAGGCUGCAGAGGACAGGUGGGAGGGGCGGCAGGAGAGAGAAGGGGCCCCGGGGGGAGAGGUGGCUUUCACUGGCAGUUGGGAAAUAGUGAAGGGAAACCUCAUCCCUUUAUCGAGGUCUAGGCCCCAAAACUCUUUUGCAAAAUGCAGGGCUUGUAUCUGAAGGCCUCUGGCCAAUGUGCCUGCUGCCAUUUCCUCUGUCCCUGAGGUCUCCAGAAGAGAAAGGAGCUCCAGCCUUGCAUUCUUUGGGUGUGGAGAGGAGCAGAGCAGAAUGGAGCCUGCAGGUCAUGCCAGGAGUCACCGCAAGGCUGUGGCUGUCAGCUCAGAAUUCCAUCAUCACUUGGGAGAUUUCUGCGAAUCAUCACUAAAGCCAUUCACUUUCUCAUAACUAAACAAGAAUCUUCUUCUGGAGUUAAGUAUCAGAUAUGAAUGUUCUCACUGACCUCAGGAAGCAAAAGUCCUAAAUCAUUAUAUGGCAGUGAAGGUACAAAAAAAAAAAAAAAUCAGCAGGAAAUAAAGCGGAACUGCUGCCAACACAUACAAGCUGCAGUAGCACCCACAAAAUGUGUAGUAUCUAUUCUAACACAUUCAUUGGACUGAUUACAUUGGCUCAUAGACUUGGUUAACUCUGGAAGAACAUAAUAGGUGUUUAUUGUUUACUAUGGGGAUGGGAAACAUAAUUAAGUCUAUAGUCUCCAAUUCUUCUCAAGUUCAAAUGAAACCAACACUUUUGGUUUUGUCUUAACAUUCAGGAUGUGUUUCUAAUUAAACUGAAAUCACAGUAAGCACCUCCACUUUCUUUCUUGGGAUCUCUAUCAUGAAAAUUAAUUGUGUGAUUUUCCCCUCCCACCCAACCCCGCUUCUUCUGGAAAAAGCUAUAUUUACACUUGCUAUACCUGAAAAUCCCCAUUUGGGGCAGAGUAGGCAUUAUGGCAUUUGUCUGAUCUCUGGUGUGCCCAAAAAGAAAUCGCCUGAAACUGGGGGCAUAUUAAGAAUGCAAAUGGUGAUUUGGGUUAGAGUUCCAACCUGUAGCUAACUAGAACAUCCUUUCAUUGACUUCUACUCUCUCAAUUAGUGUUUUGUUUUUUUUUUUGGUUUUUUUUUUUUGAGACGGAGUCUUGCUCUGCCGGCAGGCUGGAGUGAUGCAGCACGAUCUUGGCUCACUGCAACCUCCGACUUCCUGGUUCAAGUGAUUCUCCUGCCUCAGCCUCCCAAGUAGCUGGGAUUACAGGCACGUGCCACCACGCCCAGAUAAUUUUUGUAUUUUUAGCAGAGACAGGGUUUCACUAUGUUGGCCAGGAUUGUCUUGAACUCCUGACCUCGUGAUCCGCCUGCCUUGAGCCUCUCAAAGUGCUGGGAUUAUAGGUGUGAGCCACUGCGCCCGGCCUUUUUUUUUUUUUUUUUUUUUUUUGAGAUGGAGUCUCGCUCUGUUGCCCAGGCUGGAGUGCAGUGGCUUGAUCUCGGCUCACUGCAACCUCCAACUCCCGAGUUCAAGCAAUUAUCUUGCCUCAACCUCUCCAGUAGCUGGGAUUACAUGUGCCUGCCACAGGGUUUCACCAUGUUGGACCAGGUUGGUCUCGAACUCCUGGCCUCAGAUUAUCUGCCCGCCUCGGUCUCCCAAAGUGCUGGGAUUACAAGCAUGAGUCACUGGGCCUGGCCUAGUGUUCUUUAUCACUCAAAUAAUUGUUAGACGAUCUUAAGAGAACUCCUAGUCCUACGUUUUUGUGAGGAUGUCUUAUAAGACCACACAUUUCCUGGUCUAAAUGCAAAUUUCAAACAUCUCUUAGAGGUUUUUUCGUUAAGUUCAGUGAGUGAGUCUUAUUGUUACCUACAGGUAGUUGGAUAGGCAGGAGCCAGACAGGAGAGGGCUCUCCCCCACCCACUAAGCCUAUCAGCAAUUACGGCAUUGCCUCUCCGAGUGCGAUAAUUCGGCAGCGCCAGGGAAAAGGCAUUUCCUGAGGGUCCACACCUGUUAAUAUGAAAUGUUAAUUGAAUGCAAGCCUCAGGGAGAAGAAACUUCCUGGGCAUGCAUAUUAAGAGGCAAAAAUGGCGAAUUAUGAUCUUCCAGGUAAACUCCACCGGCAAAAGGAAGAAAGCCUCAGAUAGGCAUGCUUAUGACUCCCUAAACACACUGCGCUGUGCUCAAUUCCAAAGGGUAAGGAGGGCACUGUGCAGGCGGGCAGCCCACCCUAAGGGAAGAAUCAUGGGAAAGAGGUGAGCUUAUACAAGUCCUAGUAUCACCGGGCGCGGUGGUUCAUGCCUGUAAUCACACCGCUGCACUCCAGCCUGGUGACAGAGGGAGACUCCGUCUCAAAAAAAAAGUCCUAGUAUCACAGUUAAAUGGGGCACUUGACUCUCCCUUUUUGUUCUUUGGGUCUCUUCCAAGUGUGCUUUCCUUCUUUCCUAUUCUAAAGCCGUUUUAAACAAACUUCUAUUCCUGCUCCGAAACUUGUCUCGCUCCUUAUGCCCUUCAGUAGAAUUCUUUCUUCUGAGAAGGCAAGAACCAAAGUUGCUGCGUACCUAUACAGAUGUAAGGCUGGAUAGGUGGCUGGUAACUCAGGGUGGCUCUGAUCUCUUCCGCUGGUAACAUUAUUGUCAGCGGAAACUGACAAUUCCCGCCACACUGAGUGAGUCCUCCAGCACCAGAACCCUGACCAAUUCACCUUUGCAUCCCUAGUGCCUAGCAUCAUUCCUGCUAUUAGGAAGUUCAAUAAAUAUUUAUCAAAUAAGCAUAUCAUUUAUCUUCCCUACUAGACUUUUCUUCUCAGAGAGAUUAAGAGCCACGUGGACUUAAACUUUAGAUUGGACACAGGUCUGACAAAUUAGAUGCACAGGGAAAGGACUUAAAACAUUUAUUUAGGGCCGGGCGCGGUGGCUCACGCCUUUAAUCCCAGCACUUUGGGAGGCCGAGGCAGGUGGAUCACGAGGUCAGGAGAUCGAGACUAUCCUGGCCAACACGGUGAAACCCCGUCUCCACUAAAAAAAAAAAUACAAAAAAUUAGCCGGGCAUGGUGGCGGGCGCCUGUAGUCCCAGCUACUUGGGA
rnacentral:lncRNA from 10 species